GGGCAAAAGCUCUUCCAAAACCGUCACGCUGUUCGGGAUGUUCACCACCUUAUUAUAGCGAGAGAUCUUUGUUAUAAAGUUGCGCGGAUUAUUCAAAUCAGAGGAUAUCGGCAUCCGAACUCUAAGAGUGCACACAUUGUCGUAUUCACUCAACAGCUCUUCGACCAUGGCCUUGGUCUUCGAGUAGAAUGAACCAGUGAAAUUCGGCUUAUCUUCCUCCGUGAAACCGAUGCCUGACCCUUCAGGAUGUAGAGC
rnacentral:misc_RNA from 1 species